UUUCCCAGCAAUCGGAGGCUUCAAGAAGCCUCGAUCGGUGGGGAAUUUCAUCAUCCUCUUCCCUCUUCUCCACUGUCUCUCUCUCACAAACCUUCACGGUUGGCAGGAUCCGGUGUUAGACCCACGCCGUCGGAGCAGAGGGCUGCAUCGUCGGAGUAGGAGACGAACGAUCCCCUUCAAAGCAGGUGAUCAAGGAUUUGUCACCCGAACGUAAGAAAUUGGAAAGCAUAUUGCUAUGAUUAAGACCACUAGGAGCAGGGAGCUUGAUGUUAUUCAGGGUUGGGGUAAUUGAAAAUGUUAUGUAAUAAUCAGAUUUUAGAAGCUCUGUACUGUUCCAACUUCAUGAACAAUGUUAUGACAUUAGUAAAUGAAA